AGAGUUUGAUCCUGGCUCAGAUUGAACGCUGGCGGCAUGCCUUACACAUGCAAGUCGAACGGCAGCACGGGGGCAACCCUGGUGGCGAGUGGCGAACGGGUGAGUAAUACAUCGGAACGUGUCCUGUAGUGGGGGAUAGCCCGGCGAAAGCCGGAUUAAUACCGCAUACGAUCUACGGAAGAAAGCAGGGGAUCGCAAGACCUCGCGCUAUAGGGGCGGCCGAUGGCAGAUUAGCUAGUUGGUGGGGUAAAGGCCUACCAAGGCGACGAUCUGUAGCUGGUCUGAGAGGACGACCAGCCACACUGGGACUGAGACACGGCCCAGACUCCUACGGGAGGCAGCAGUGGGGAAUUUUGGACAAUGGGGGAAACCCUGAUCCAGCAAUGCCGCGUGUGUGAAGAAGGCCUUCGGGUUGUAAAGCACUUUUGUCCGGAAAGAAAACUUCUGCCCUAAUACGGUGGGAGGAUGACGGUACCGGAAGAAUAAGCACCGGCUAACUACGUGCCAGCAGCCGCGGUAAUACGUAGGGUGCGAGCGUUAAUCGGAAUUACUGGGCGUAAAGCGUGCGCAGGCGGUUCGUUAAGACAGAUGUGAAAUCCCCGGGCUUAACCUGGGAACUGCAUUUGUGACUGGCGAGCUAGAGUAUGGCAGAGGGGGGUAGAAUUCCACGUGUAGCAGUGAAAUGCGUAGAGAUGUGGAGGAAUACCGAUGGCGAASUGGUGGGGUAACGGCUCACCAAGGCGACGAUGUCUAGGGGUUCUGAGAGGAUUGUCCCCCACACUGGUACUGAGACACGGACCAGACUCCUACGGGAGGCAGCAGUAAGGAAUAUUGGGCAAUGGACGCAAGUCUGACCCAGCCAUGCCGCGUGAAGGAUGAAGGCCCUAUGGGUCGUAAACUUCUUUUGUACGGGAAAAACCCCCGGGUCGGGUAUCCGGGCUGAUGGUACCGUAAGAAUAAGGAUCGGCUAACUCCGUGCCAGCAGCCGCGGUAAUACGGAGGAUCCGAGCGUUAUCCGGAUUUAUUGGGUUUAAAGGGUGCGCAGGCGGAUAAAUAAGUCAGUGGUGAAAUCCUACGGCUCAACUGUAGAACUGCCAUUGAUACUGUUUAUCUUGAGUAUAGUUGGAGUGGGCGGAAUGUGUCAUGUAGCGGUGAAAUGCUUAGAUAUGACACAGAACACCGAUCGCGAAGGCAGCUCACUAAGCUAUAACUGACGCUCAGGCACGAAAGCGUGGGGAUCAAACAGGAUUAGAUACCCUGGUAGUCCACGCUGUAAACGAUGAUUACUCGAUGUUGGCGAUACACAGUCAGCGUCUGAGCGAAAGCAUUAAGUA
rnacentral:rRNA from 1 species